rnacentral:sRNA from 1 species
GGGGCGCCUGGCCGGGGAGAAGCGCGGGGGCUGGAGCACCACCAACUGGAGGGUCCGGAGUAGCGAGCGCCCCGAAGGAGGCCAUCGGGGAGCCGGGACGGGGGGACUGCCGGGACCUCGAGGGGACCCCGGGCCGCGAGGAGAGGCGGGACCCGCGGGGCCCACCGGGCCUGCCGGGGAGUGCUCGGUGCCUCCGCGAUCCGCCUUCAGCGCCAAGCGCUCCGAGAGCCGGGUGCCUCCGCCGUCUGACGCACCCUUGCCCUUCGACCGCGUGCUGGUGAACGAGCAGGGACAUUACGACGCCGUCACCGGCAAGUUCACCUGCCAGGUGCCUGGGGUCUACUACUUCGCCGUCCAUGCCACCGUCUACCGGGCCAGCCUGCAGUUUGAUCUGGUGAAGAAUGGCGAAUCCAUUGCCUCUUUCUUCCAGUUUUUCGGGGGGUGGCCCAAGCCAGCCUCGCUCUCGGGGGGGGCCAUGGUGAGGCUGGAGCCUGAGGACCAAGUGUGGGUGCAGGUGGGUGUGGGUGACUACAUUGGCAUCUAUGCCAGCAUCAAGACAGACAGCACCUUCUCCGGAUUUCUG